rnacentral:rRNA from 1 species
AUUGAACGCUGGCGGCAUGCUUUACACAUGCAAGUCGAACGGCAGCGCGGGCUUCGGCCUGGCGGCGAGUGGCGAACGGGUGAGUAAUACAUCGGAACGUGCCCAGUAGUGGGGGAUAGCUCGGCGAAAGCCGGAUUAAUACCGCAUACGACCUGAGGGUGAAAGCGGGGGAUCUUCGGACCUCGCGCUAUUGGAGCGGCCGAUGGCCGAUUAGCUAGUUGGUGGGGUAAAGGCCUACCAAGGCGACGAUCUGUAGCUGGUCUGAGAGGACGACCAGCCACACUGGGACUGAGACACGGCCCAGACUCCUACGGGAGGCAGCAGUGGGGAAUGGUGGACAAUGGGCGAAAGCCUGAUCCAGCAAUGCCGCGUGUGUGAUGAAGGCCUUCGGGUUGUAAAGCACUUUUGGCGGGAACGAAAAGGACUGUGCCAAUACCACGGUUCGAUGACGGUACCCGCAGAAUAAGCACCGGCUAACUACGUG